rnacentral:rRNA from 1 species
AGAGUUUGAUCAUGGCUCAGAACGAACGCUGGCGGCAGGCCUAACACAUGCAAGUCGAACGCCGUAGCAAUACGGAGUGGCAGACGGGUGAGUAACACGUGGGAACACGCCCUUCGGUUCGGAAUAACUCAGGGAAACUUGAGCUAAUACCGGAUACGUCCAAGGCAACUUGGAGAAAGAUUUAUCGCCGAUGGAUUGGCCCGCGUCUGAUUAGCUAGUUGGUGGGGUAACGGCUCACCAAGGCGACGAUCAGUAGCUGGUCUGAGAGGAUGAUCAGCCACAUUGGGACUGAGACACGGCCCAAACUCCUACGGGAGGCAGCAGUGGGGAAUAUUGGACAAUGGGCGCAAGCCUGAUCCAGCCAUGCCGCGUGAGUGAUGAAGGCCCUAGGGUUGUAAAGCUCUUUUACCCGGGAAGAUAAUGACGGUACCGGGAGAAUAAGCCCCGGCUAACUUCGUGCCAGCAGCCGCGGUAAUACGAAGGGGGCUAGCGUUGUUCGGAAUCACUGGGCGUAAAGCGCAUGUAGGCGGAUUCUUAAGUCAGGGGUGAAAUCCCGAGGCUCAACCUCGGAACUGCCUUUGAUACUGGGGAUCUUGAGUCCGGGAGAGGUGAGUGGAAUUGCGAGUGUAGAGGUGAAAUUCGUAGAUAUUCGCAAGAACACCAGUGGCGAAGGCGGCUCACUGGCCCGGUACUGACGCUGAGGUGCGAAAGCGUGGGGAGCAAACAGGAUUAGAUACCCUGGUAGUCCACGCCGUAAACGAUGGAUGCUAGCCGUCAGCAGCUUGCUGUUUGGUGGCGCAGUUAACGCGUUAAGCAUCCCGCCUGGGGAGUACGGUCGCAAGAUUAAAACUCAAAGGAAUUGACGGGGCCCGCACAAGCGGUGAGCAUGUGGUUCAUUCGAGCACGCGCAGAACCUUACCAGCCCUUGACAUGUCUCGUAUGGUGGCCGGAGACGGCUUCCUUCAGUUCGGCUGGCGAGACCCAG